UACGAAGGGUGCUAGCGUUGUUCGGAAUCACUGGGCGUAAAGCGCACGCAGGCGGAUAUUUAAGUCAGGGGUGAAAUCCCGGGGCUCAACCUCGGAAUUGCCUUUGAUACUGUUUAUCUCGAGUUCGGGAGAGGUUGGCGGAAUUCCUAGUGUAGAGGUGAAAUUCGUAGAUAUUAGGAAGAACACCAGUGGCGAAGGCGGCCAACUGGCCCGAUACUGACGCUCAUGUGCGAAAGCGUGGGGAGCAAACAGG
rnacentral:rRNA from 1 species